UCCUGACUUAGGACGAACGCUGGCGGCGUGCCUAAUACAUGCAAGUCGAACGGUCUUUCUAUGGAAGCUUGCUUCCACUGAGAAGAUAGUGGCGAACGGGUGAGUAACACGUGGGUAACCUGCCCAUAAGAGGGGGAUAACAUCCGGAAACGGGUGCUAAUACCGCAUAGUUUUCUUGAUCGCAUGAUCGGGAAAGGAAAGACGGCCUUUGUGCUGUCGCUUAUGGAUGGACCCGCGGCGUAUUAGUUAGUUGGUGAGGUAACGGCUCACCAAGACGAUGAUACGUAGCCGACCUGAGAGGGUGAUCGGCCACAUUGGGACUGAGACACGGCCCAAACUCCUACGGGAGGCAGCAGUAGGGAAUCUUCCGCAAUGGACGAAAGUCUGACGGAGCAACGCCGCGUGAGUGAAGAAAAGGUUUUCGGAUCGUAAAACUCUGUUGUCAGAGAAGAACAAGUUGGAGAGUAACUGCUCCAGCCUUGACGGUAUCUGACCAGAAAGCCACGGCUAACUACGUGCCAGCCGCAGC
rnacentral:rRNA from 1 species